rnacentral:rRNA from 1 species
ACGUAGGAGGCAAGCGUUAUCCGGAUUUACUGGGCGUAAAGCGCGUGCAGGCGGCUCGAAAAGUUGGAUGUGAAAGCUCCUGGCUUAACUGGGAGAGGUCGUUCAAUACUUUCGGGCUAGAGGAUGGGAGAGGGAGGUGGAAUUCCGGGUGUAGUGGUGAAAUGCGUAGAUAUCCGGAGGAACACCAGUGGCGAAGGCGGCCUCCUGGCCCAUUUCUGACGCUCAGACGCGAAAGCUAGGGUAGCAAACGG